CCUACGGGAGGCAGCAGUGAGGAAUAUUGGUCAAUGGGCGCGAGCCUGAACCAGCCAAGUAGCGUGAAGGAUGACUGCCCUACGGGUUGUAAACUUCUUUUAUAAAGGAAUAAAGUGAGGCACGUGUGCCUUUUUGCAUGUACUUUAUGAAUAAGGAUCGGCUAAUUCCGUGCCAGCAGCCGCGGUAAUACGGAGGAUCCGGGCGUUAUCCGGAUUUAUUGGGUUUAAAGGGAGCGUAGGUGGCUUCUUAAGCGAGUUGUGAAAGUCUGCGGCUCAACCGUAAAAUUGCAAUUGAUACUGGCAGUCUUGAGUGCAGUGGAGGUAGGCGGAAUUCGUGGUGUAGCGGUGAAAUGCUUAGAUAUCACGAAGAACUCCGAUUGCGAAGGCAGCUUACUAAACUGCCACUGACAUUGAUGCUCGAAGGUGUGGGUAUCAAACAGGAUUAGAUACCCUAGUAGUC
rnacentral:rRNA from 1 species